UGGGCAGACCUUAGGAAAGCACCCCUCCAAAGUGCAAUGGAAGUCACUUACAUUUGUGUCCACUUUGUUUUAAAAGAACUUGUGCGGAAGUCAAUUUCAGAAACUGAGGUCAGCAAUGUUUCAGCAAUGUCCCAGCAAUGUUUUCAGAAACGGAAGUCAAUUUCAGUGCACCGUUAUUUGAGACUAAAUAUGGUGGAUUAUCUACUAUCUAUAUUGAAAAUCGUCACAUGGCUUAUUAAUUAGAAAGGUGUCAGUCACAAUUCCCUCGGGUGAUUAAUUGGAAAACUAACAUAUAAGGGAAGGC